GGAGCAUCUCUUCGACAAGUAGCAGUGCACUACGUUGGACAGCUACCAACCGAGACGGCCGGCUGCCUGACAAGGACACCAUUUCUGGUCUUACAGUCCUGGAGCGGUGAGCAUCUGAGCUUCCAUCACCGAUCUGAAUAACAAACUUGCGGCGCUCCUUAGCGUCACUGAUUGAAACAUUAGCAACAACAAUACUUGCUUCAGGCUUAAGGAGUAAAGAACGGCAAGCAUGGAUGACAGAGGGACAACACCUGCUCCAAAUUUGAAAAAUCCAGGAGGUUUACAACAGGCAUGCAAGGUCCUCGAAAAGUUCAAAUGAUAACGCCAUUUGAUAAACGUUUGGAAAUUCAAGCCUGGUCUUGUUCCGCAACAUGUGACCUUCUACUUCUUAAUGGAC